UCUGAUGUGAUACAACUAAGUCCUGAAGUCC
rnacentral:piRNA from 1 species